CCUGGCGGCAACAGCGCGGUGGUCCCACCUGACCCCAUGCCGAACUCAGAAGUGAAACGCCGUAGCGCCGAUGGUAGUGUGGGGCCUCCCCAUGCGAGAGUAGGGAACUGCCA
rnacentral:rRNA from 1 species